AUUGAACGCUGGCGGCAUGCUUUACACAUGCAAGUCGAACGGUAACAGGUUAAGCUGACGAGUGGCGAACGGGUGAGUAAUGCAUCGGAACGUGCCCGAUCGUGGGGGAUAACACUUCGAAAGAAGUGCUAAUACCGCAUACGAUCUGAGGAUGAAAGCGGGGGACCGUAAGGCCUCGCGCGAUCGGAGCGGCCGAUGUCAGUUUAGGUAGUUGGCGGGGUAAAGGCUCACCAAGCCGACGAUCUGUAGCUGGUCUGAGAGGACGACCAGCCACACGGGGACUGAGACCCGGCCCAGACUCCUACGGGAGGCAGCAGUGGGGAAUUUUGGACAAUGGGCGCAAGCCUGAUCCAGCAAUGCCGCGUGCAGGAAGAAGGCCUUCGGGUUGUAAACUGCUUUUGUACGGAGCGAAAAGGCUCCCUCUAAUACAGGGGGCUCAUGACGGUACCGUAGGAAUAAGCACCGGCUAACUACGUGCCAGCAGCCGCCGUAA
rnacentral:rRNA from 1 species